rnacentral:lncRNA from 1 species
UUGAACGUAAUGAUUUUUGUUACUAAUUACAGGGAGCACUUGACGGGGGAUUUGAUGUUUCCCACAAUCACAAGAGGUUUGCUGGAUUUUUGAAGGAUUCUAAGCAGCUUGAUGCUGAGGUUCACAGGAAAUACAUUUAUGGUAGCCACAUUGCUACAUAUAAGAUGAUGAUGAUGUCAAAUUUCUGAUUUUUCACUUAACUAUGACUGGCGUGUGUGGGGAUUUCCGUAGAAGUAACUUGUAAGUUCUUGUUGAAGUGAAAUUUUAAUUUUAACCACAUAUUUACAACUACUGUCCACUUAUUAUUCAUACAUUUUAGGGGACCCAAUUCUCCUCUCGUGGUAAUAGCAUAAUAGGUUCCUUAUAGUGAGACCUGAACACACUUUACAAAUUACACGUUUAAAGAAAGGAAAUCUGACUUCCUCUAUUCGUAUUAAAUAUUUCCAGACCUUGAUAGAAGAUGAGUCAGAAAUGUACCAAUCACACUUCAGUGAGUAUAUCAAGAAAGGACUUGAGCUAGGUGGACUUGAGGAGCUGUACAAGAAUGUCCACGCGGCCAUCCGUGCUGACCCAAUGAUGAGUUUGUUUCACUCAUGAUUUUCGCACAAUUUUAGCUUGAUUAAAUGCUAGAUCUUGUGAGUAAAGAACGUUUUUGAUGUGUUUGUUAAUGUUGUUUUGAAGAUUAGGAGAAGCGAUCUGAAAAGAAGUAUUAAAGUGGACGAAGAGGCCAAAAAACACGAAAUUGCAUUGGUAGCAUGAUCAGGUAGGAGAGGCGGCUGAGGAAAUGUUCGUUCGGAGUAAAUUGAAGCCAAUACUGCAACGAGCUCAUGUUGAUAAUUAAAUUGCUCGCACAAUGUAUUUUGCAUCAAAUUUAUUUGCAAUUGCAUGUCAUGAAAUUGAGUGACAAGGUCAGAAGUGGGGUCACUAGCUGGUGUUGGUCAGCGUGAACGGGGCGGCUGGUCGCUCCAAGGAGGGGGUGGAGCACUGGUGGAUUCGGAGCGGCAUAAGAACUUCCAAGUACGCGCUCGUGUGAUAGUCGGUUUAGGGUGCACAACCUCUUCAGUCGGGUAUGUGACAACACUACCAGCUAAACAAAGCUCAUAAAUCAACGAUGGGUGCCCUAAACCACCUGUCGUCGACCCUCUCAAAGUGUGUAAGAUGUUGUGAAUAAUUUUACCAACAUCAAUUGAUAGGCGGCAUUGAAUGACAUAAUUGAGGGUAGCCCGUUCUUUUGUUACUUCACUUAAAUUGCUAUUGGGAAUAAGCUUGCCAGAAAUGAAGUGAUGACAAGCCUUACAACCCAAAGUCAUACCAGAAGCAGGGAAGUUAAUGACAUCAGUCUCCGAACGUUUCCAUGUAGUACCAGUUGUGGCUAAGACUCGAAUGACCUCAUCAGGAUCAACACCCUCGUCACGAAGUCUAGAGUACUCGUCAUUUUCAAUAUCUUGCAAAUGAUAAAACCUAUUGAUGGAGGUUCUAUCAAACGGUAUCCAUUUACCCCGCACAAACACUCGGAAAUCUCGAUGCUCCUUCGCAUUGGCGUAGAACUCCUUAACAACCGGAAUUAGCGCCAGUCGUGGUUGCUGAGCAAACACUUCCCAGCUCCGCCGAUCUAUCUGCUCUGUUAUAUAAUUGUCAAAACCACGUUCAGGGAUACAAGUCUUGUGUACCACCAAGCUAUUAUAUCGUUCAGUGGCCUCGAUACUAAUGAAUUUGCUCCUGUCAAAUGAGCUAGAAGAAGAGGCUGCGACUUUAGAUCUCUUUUUAGGCGGCAUUGGACCUGUGCAAGGGUAGAACAAGCAAACCAUUAGCAAAAAUAGCAGUAAAGGAAGAUAAGGCAGGGUUUAAAAUCUAGCCAUAAGAGGGAACUAUGGUUGAACGUGCAAUAGAUGUAUUCUAAACCCAAUUUCAAUUCACGAUCAUCUACAUGACAAUGUCCACAUAACUCAAUGAGCAUAAUAGCUAAAAUAGCUCCUUUAUACCCAACUAAGUUCACCUAGGCAAUCCGUCAAACACUUUGAAGGCACCAAAUUUCCACCAAAAAUUGCCCAUACUUUUGGGAGUAAUUUAUGCCACAUUAUUCGCACUAUACACAAAUUUCUUGACACCACACACAAAGCAAGCCCUCCUCUUAACAUAAUUAUCAAAAAUAGGCACAAAAAGAAACAAUUAUCAUGUAAGAGAGGAGAAAAAAUAGGGAGCAAAAAAUAGCCAUACCUGGAAUGGUGCUGUGGAAACUAAUAGGAAUGAAUGAGUUCAUACUUAGCAACAAUGUAUUGAAUUUUACUACAUGGUCUAAAUCCUAAAUCCAUAUCUCUAGUUGUAAAGAAUUCACAAAAAUAUCAAGUUAUUGAUCAUAUAAUUUUAUGCAUUCAACUCAUAACAAAAUCAACACAUGGAAGAAUUAAAAACUGAAAGUCUUAAUAAGAGAAUGUAAAAUAUCUCAAUUGGUUACAUUAUUCCCCCUAACAAUGAAUUUAGCUACUCAUAAUAUAAGAAGAAAAGUAGGAUUUUGACUUAGAAUAUAUCACUGAGUUUGUAAUAAAGAUGUAGAAGAAAAAGUAAAAUUCUUGCACCAAGAUUUCCUUCCUCUUCCAAUGAAUGCUUCUAAUCUUCAAUUGCUUGGUGUUAAUCUUCUUGAACUUCUCUUUUGAAUCUUCCUUCCUGUUGUCUUCUCUCAAUAUGUCAAGAACCCUUCAAAGUAUCAGCAAACUGUAUUUUUAGGUGCCCCUCUCGUUUUAUAUAGAAGUAGGGUUUUUAUGGAUUUAAAAAGGGCCCAAAAAACGCGCCCUAGAUAUUCAAUCGUAGCGCCUUAGCGCUGAUGAUAGCGCCUGGGCGCUACAUCUUCAGCGCCUAGGCGUUGACUUUCUGUCAAAAUUUCAGCAUCAUGGCGCCUGGGCGCUGAGGACUACUUCGGUUGCACUGCAUAACCUUAAGUAUUUUUAUCAUAAUUCUUUUUCCCGAUAUCCGAGUGAGGCGAUUCAAGAUGCGUUGAAAAGGUAAUUCAAAGGGCUACAACUUUGAUUCAAAUAUUAUUCUCUAAUUCGAUCGUUUGCUAUGUGAAAAAAUGAGUCUCAAUAUGAGGCUAAAAACCCGGUGCAAAAUUUUUCGGUUGGAAAAUGAUUUAUGAUCAUAUCUUGAAUAAAUUUGAUCCCUUUGACACCUUCCUUCAUCCAAUUGGCUUCUAGAACUCUCAGAUCUUCAUUUCAACUUUUGACACGACUUUUGAUUAAUUGCAUUUUAAUCCUCGAACUUUGUAUCUCUUACAUUUUGGUCAUUUCAUCCAAUUUCGCUAGCUUUUGCCUAUUUCCUUCCUUUAACCUCUUUUAGCUCUUAUUUUCUCUACUUCCAUCAAUCUGCAAAACAAUACCAAAAUAACUUAUUAGCACUUCUAAAAUACUCUCUAAGAUAGCAAAAUCAUGAAAUUAAUAGCAUAAUAUAAUGAGUGUGAAUCACUCAUCACUCAACCCUGAAGAAAUCUGAGAAACGGCCACCUAAGGAACAAAAGAGGUAGGGAAAUAUUUAUACGCUUUAAUUUAACCCAUUUCUUUCAAAAUUGUCUUGAAUUCUUCUAUCUGCAAUGAUUCUUAUGUACAAAUGUCAGUUGCCCUGUUCGUGUCUAUUAUUUCCUUAUUGACGUAUGUGAAAUUAUUCGUGUUUUGUUGCCCAGAUACAACUUGAAGAAGCUCACCUACGAAGUGAGGAAGGCCGCCCGUUUGAUCGAACGAUUGAAUGCUCUCAAUGCUGCUGCCGGACAUGAAGAUGACGAUGACAAGUGAAAGUUCUAGAACAUAAUUUCUUUAGCGAUUUUGUUUUCCACAAGUAAAACCGUCGUUUUAGUUGAUUCUUUCCUGUUUUACCAUUUUUUUGCUUUGUUGGCCUUUUUUAGUCGAAAAAAAUGUAGUUGGAAUUUUGACAUGAAAUUCUAUUUACAUAAUUUAUUAGUCAUUUUUGC